rnacentral:rRNA from 1 species
UACGUAGGCAGCGAGCGUUGUUCGGAGUUACUGGGCGUAAAGGGUGUGUAGGCGGUUGUUUAAGUUUGGUGUGAAAUCUCCCGGCUCAACUGGGAGGGUGCGCCGAAUACUGAAUGACUUGGAGUGCGGGAGAGGAAAGUGGAAUUCCUGGUGUAGCGGUGAAAUGCGUAGAUAUCAGGAGGAACACCGGUGGUGUAGACGGCUUUCUGGGCCGUAACUGACGCUGAGACACGAAAGCGUGGGUAGCAAACAGG